GAUGAACGCUGGCGGCGUGCCUAAUACAUGCAAGUCGAACGGGCUGCCAUAAGGCAGCCAGUGGCGAACGGGUGAGGAGCACAUGGGGAACCUGCCCGUCAGAGGGGGACAACAGCUGGAAACGGCUGCUAAGACCGCAUAGGCUCAAGGAGGGCAUCCUCGUUGAGUUAAAGUGUCCUUUCGGGGACAGCUGACGGAUGGACCUGUGGCGCAUUAGCCAGUUGGCGGGGUAAAGGCCCACCAAGGCGACGAUGCGUAGCCGGCCUGAGAGGGCGGACGGCCACACUGGGACUGAGACACGGCCCAGACUCCUCGGGAGGCAGCAGUAGGGAAUUUUCGGCAAUGGGGGGAACCCUGACCGAGCAACGCCGCGUGAGUGAGGAAGGCCUUCGGGCUGUAAAGCUCUGUUGCAGAGGAAGAACGGGAGAGCGAGGAAAUGCGCUUUUCGUGACUGUACUCU
rnacentral:rRNA from 1 species